CCUACGGGAGGCAGCAGUGAGGAAUAUUGGUCAAUGGGCGCGAGCCUGAACCAGCCAAGUAGCGUGAAGGAUGACUGCCCUACGGGUUGUAAACUUCUUUUAUAAAGGAAUAAAGUGAGGCACGUGUGCCCCUUUGUAUGUAUUUUAUGAAUAAGGAUCGGCUAACUCUGUGCCAGAAGCCGCGGUAAUAUGGAGGAUCCGAGCGUUAUCCGGAUUUAUUGGGUUUAAAGGGAGCGUAGAUGGGUUGUUAAGUCAGUUGUGAAAGUUUGCGGCUCAAUCGUAAAAUUGCAAUUGAUACUGGCAGCCUUGAGUGCAGAUAGGGAAGGCGGAAUUCGUGGUGUAGCGGUGAAAUGCUUAGAUAUCACGAAGAACUCCGAUUGCGAAGGCAGCUUACUAAGCUGCCACUGACAUUGAUGCUCGAAAGUGUGGGUAUCAAACAGGAUUAGAUACCCCAGUAGUC
rnacentral:rRNA from 1 species